CACGGGGGACCUUUUCCUGCUGUCCCACCUGGCACUGCCUCCUUCCCAAGGUGACAGGAGACACUGAGGGAUGGGACACUGGGACACUGGGACACUGAGGAUGGGACAUUGGGACACAGGGACACUGAGGGAUGGGACACUGGGACACAGGGACACUGAGGAAUGGGACACUGGGACACAGGGACAUUGAGACACAGGGACACUGAGGAUGGGACAUUGAGACACAGGGACACUGAGGAUGGGACAUUGGGACACAGGGACACUGAGGGAUGGGAAAUUGGGAUACAGGGACACUGAGGGAUGGGACACUGGGACACAGGGACACUGAGGAUGGGACAUUGGGACACUGGGACACUGAGGAUGGGACACUGGGACACAGGGACACUGAGGGAUGGGUGCACACCCAUCCUGGGCUGCCAGGGAUGGUGCUUUUUGCGCUGCUGUUUAACUUUGCCCGCUGCA
rnacentral:lncRNA from 12 species